GACGAACGCUGGCGGCGUGCUUAACACAUGCAAGUCGAACGGAAAGGCCCUGCUUUUGUGGGGUGCUCGAGUGGCGAACGGGUGAGUAACACGUGAGUAACCUGCCCUUGACUUUGGGAUAACUUCAGGAAACUGGGGCUAAUACCGGAUAGGAGCUCCUCCUGCAGGGUGGGGGUUGGAAGGUUUCGGCGGUUGGGGAUGGACUCGCGGCUUAUCAGCUUGUUGGUGGGGUAGUGGCUUACCAAGGCUUUGACGGGUAGCCGGCCUGAGAGGGUGACCGGCCACAUUGGGACUGAGAUACGGCCCAGACUCCUACGGGAGGCAGCAGUGGGGAAUAUUGCACAAUGGGCGGAAGCCUGAUGCAGCAACGCCGCGUGCGGGAUGACGGCCUUCGGGUUGUAAACCGCUUUCGCCUGUGACGAAGCGUGAGUGACGGUAAUGGGUAAAGAAGCACCGGCUAACUACGUG
rnacentral:rRNA from 1 species